rnacentral:lncRNA from 1 species
UUCCAGGAAACUUAUUAUGCCCACUGUAAGAGAGGCUGACAAGGGUCCACAUGGGGUCUACCACUCUCUGGGGUUUCUACUUUCUGGGGGUACAGAAAGUAGAAACAUGACUCAGAGUUCCUGCCUCAUGGAGUGUGGGUCUGGGAGUUUCCAGGAACACAUCAAGGAAGAAGCAAAAAGCAAGCUGUUCUGCGGCACCAGAACAUAUGAAAAGGAAGCGCAGUUUUCCACACACAGUCGCUUCCCGUUUCAGACCCCCAUGACUGCAGAGUUCCAGAAAGUAAACACUGUAGAUCCAAGCGGAGUGCCAGAUGGUGGGCUGAAGUAGAACCGGCUCACAGAGGCUGGAACACACAGGGCUGGGAGCUCCUUGCUCUCUUCGUCUGCUUCCACCUAUUCAGAUGUCCCUGAGAUUCAGGAAUAGAAGCUUUCACUGAAGAGACAUCAGGCAUCUAAGGAUUGCUUGACACAGUGGAAUAACAGGCACACAGGGGAAGCUUCUCCCAGUG